rnacentral:snoRNA from 1 species
CCGAUACGAAAUUUACAGCAUUCUAUUCACUGCACCACUUAAACUAAUGAGUGAUUGGAGGGGAAAAGAAGAGCAAGAAGAAAGUUAGGGCACUCUAAGUACUUUUUUGAGUACUUUCUGGGCCUUACAGGAGAUUUUACGUCCUCAUACUGAAGCAGAAGCUUAAUUGCCUUACUUCUGCAUUGGUAUCUGCGUAUUCCAUACAUUU